CCUACGGGAGGCAGCAGUGGGGAAUAUUGGGCAAUGGGUGCAAGCCUGACCCAGCAACGCCGCGUGAAGGAAGAAGGCUUUCGGGUUGUAAACUUCUUUUCUGCGGGACGAAGACAGUGACGGUACCUCAGGAAUAAGCCACGGCUAACUACGUGCCAGCGGCAGCGGUAAUACGUCGGUGGCAAGCGUUAUCCGGAUUUAUUGGGUGUAAGGGGCGUGUAGGCGGGAAAGCAAAGCAGAUGGGAAAACUCAGGGCUCAAACCUGAGCCUGCAUUUGAAACUGUUUUUCUUGAGUGCUGGAGAGGCAAUCGGAAUGCCGGGUGUAGCGGUGAAAUGCGUAGAUAUACGGAAGAACACCAGUGGCGAAGGCAGAGUGCUGGAGAGUAACUGACGCUGAGGCGCGAAAGCGUGGGGAGCAAACAGGAUUAGAUACCCGGGUAGUC
rnacentral:rRNA from 1 species